UCCUUAUUUUCUUUCUGCUCGCAUGUUGAAACCACGGGACAGGUAAAGGCCUUCGGCCAAGGCAGCUACAGCCAAAUCAUCAUUACUGACUUCCUCCUAACUUAGACAAGCUCCCCCCCCUCCAUUCUUAAAGGGUAAUAAAAUGCUUCAGCAGAAAACAACAGAUCUCUUCUGGUGUGAGUUGCCAAACCACCCUCCAGUUUCUAUCAGCAGCCUGGGGCAAACACCUUUCGCUUUUCUGUUCCUCUCUCUGGAAACCUGAUCCAUUCUCCCGGGAAGGAUGUAUCUUUAAAGCAGUCCUGCCUGAGUUUCCCUCCUCUCCUUCCUUCCACCUGCCGAUGAAUGGGGACCAAGAUGAGCGAGGCUCGUUCCCUGACCCACUAGCCACCGGCAAGGAUUCUAACUGCUGGGCUCCUCCGUCCCUGGUGGGCGCAUGCUUCCACAGGGUGAUCUCAAGGGCAGGAUGGAACCGCACACUUGAUGGAUGAGGGACGUCUCCUCUCCAUGCCUCCGGGUCCACUGCAAGAAAAGGAGGAAGAAGAAAAAGGGGAAGAGGAAGAAAAGGGUUGGCGUCUUGGCAGCAAGAAGGAUUUCUCUCUCUUUGGCUUUGUUUGCUUGUUGUUUUUAAUAAUCCCUGGCUCACAAACGGCUUCUCUCCUCUGCUUCUUCUUCAAAGAUUAAGUUUUGGGAAUGUCAUCCUGGCGUGUUUUUGGAGAGGAGAAGACAGAGCAGUGAGUGGAAAGGUGUGGCUUUGUGGUGGUUUCUUCAGGACACCCUUUGUGAGAAGCAGAAAUGAACAUUGGUCUUUUUCCAGGACACAGGACGAGACGCCAGAGCCCCGGAUUUUGGGUACCACGUGCCUGCCUAAUCUUAUCCAGGCUGGGUCCUCUCCUCUUCCUCUUCCCGACAGGUGAGCAGCUCCUUUAGAAGGGAGCUCGGCGGCCAGAAGGAAAGCUAAGUCUCUUUUUUUAUUUACAAAGAUUGGUAAACCACUUUCAAAGCAGGAUGACAUAGUCCUAUAGCAUAUGCUGCACUCCAGAUCAAAAUGCAAUGCCCAGAGCACAGAAGUAACUAAUUACAAGUCAUAUAAUUACCCAGAUCUCGCUCCAUUGUGGGUAACAAAUAAUGCAGGAAGGCAUUGAAA
rnacentral:lncRNA from 1 species